rnacentral:rRNA from 1 species
AAAUUGAAGAGUUUGAUCAUGGCUCAGAUUGAACGCUGGCGGCAGGCCUAACACAUGCAAGUCGAACGGUAACAGAAAGCAGCUUGCUGCUUUGCUGACGAGUGGCGGACGGGUGAGUAAUGUCUGGGAAACUGCCUGAUGGAGGGGGAUAACUACUGGAAACGGUAGCUAAUACCGCAUAACGUCGCAAGACCAAAGAGGGGGACCUUAGGGCCUCUUGCCAUCGGAUGUGCCCAGAUGGGAUUAGCUAGUAGGUGGGGUAACGGCUCACCUAGGCGACGAUCCCUAGCUGGUCUGAGAGGAUGACCAGCCACACUGGAACUGAGACACGGUCCAGACUCCUACGGGAGGCAGCAGUGGGGAAUAUUGCACAAUGGGCGCAAGCCUGAUGCAGCCAUGCCGCGUGUAUGAAGAAGGCCUUCGGGUUGUAAAGUACUUUCAGCGGGGAGGAAGGGAGUAAAGUUAAUACCUUUGCUCAUUGACGUUACCCGCAGAAGAAGCACCGGCUAACUCCGUGCCAGCAGCCGCGGUAAUACGGAGGGUGCAAGCGUUAAUCGGAAUUACUGGGCGUAAAGCGCACGCAGGCGGUUUGUUAAGUCAGAUGUGAAAUCCCCGGGCUCAACCUGGGAACUGCAUCUGAUACUGGCAAGCUUGAGUCUCGUAGAGGGGGUAGAAUUCCAGGUGUAGCGGUGAAAUGCGUAGAGAUCUGGAGGAAUACCGGUGGCGAAGGCGGCCCCCUGGACGAAGACUGACGCUCAGGUGCGAAAGCGUGGGGAGCAAACAGGAUUAGAUACCCUGGUAGUCCACGCCGUAAACGAUGUCGACUUGGAGGUUGUGCCCUUGAGGCGUGGCUUCCGGAGCUAACGCGUUAAGUCGACCGCCUGGGGAGUACGGCCGCAAGGUUAAAACUCAAAUGAAUUGACGGGGGCCCGCACAAGCGGUGGAGCAUGUGGUUUAAUUCGAUGCAACGCGAAGAACCUUACCUGGUCUUGACAUCCACGGAAGUUUUCAGAGAUGAGAAUGUGCCUUCGGGAACCGUGAGACAGGUGCUGCAUGGCUGUCGUCAGCUCGUGUUGUGAAAUGUUGGGUUAAGUCCCGCAACGAGCGCAACCCUUAUCCUUUGUUGCCAGCGGUCCGGCCGGGAACUCAAAGGAGACUGCCAGUGAUAAACUGGAGGAAGGUGGGGAUGACGUCAAGUCAUCAUGGCCCUUACGACCAGGGCUACACACGUGCUACAAUGGCGCAUACAAAGAGAAGCGACCUCGCGAGAGCAAGCGGACCUCAUAAAGUGCGUCGUAGUCCGGAUUGGAGUCUGCAACUCGACUCCAUGAAGUCGGAAUCGCUAGUAAUCGUGGAUCAGAAUGCCACGGUGAAUACGUUCCCGGGCCUUGUACACACCGCCCGUCACACCAUGGGAGUGGGUUGCAAAAGAAGUAGGUAGCUUAACCUUCGGGAGGGCGCUUACCACUUUGUGAUUCAUGACUGGGGUGAAGUCGUAACAAGGUAACCGUAGGGGAACCUGCGGUUGGAUCACCUCCUUACCUUAAAGAAGC